rnacentral:lncRNA from 1 species
CUCAUUGAUCAAAAAAGAAAAAAAGAAGAAGAAGAAGAAGGAGAUGAAUAAUGGAAAAGGAAAUGGAAAGAAUAAAGUGCAUAAGGUGAAAUCAAAUGUACCAAUCCAUAUGUGUUGACCAAAUGACAUUGAAAGUCAAAGUCAAAUAAUGAGAAAUCAGAAAUGAGAUGAAGAUUGGAAGUCAAGCAAUAAGCAAAGUAUUUUUGGCAUUUUUAAUAUUAAAAUAAACUUGA